rnacentral:rRNA from 1 species
CAGACGGGUGGCAGCAGGGAGGAAUAUGGGGCAAUGGGCGCGAGCCUGAACCAGCCAAGGAGCGGGAAGGAUGACUGCCCUACGGGUUGUAAACUUCUUUUAUAAAGGAAUAAAGUGAGGCACGUGUGCCUUUUUGUAUGUACCUUAUGAAUAAGGAUCGGCUAACUCCGUGCCAGCAGCCGCGGUAAUACGGAGGAUCCGAGCGUUAUCCGGAUUUAUUGGGUUUAAAGGGAGCGUAGAUGGGUUGUUAAGUCAGUUGUGAAAGUUUGCGGCUCAACCGUAAAAUUGCAAUUGAUACUGGCAGCCUUGAGUGCAGUUGAGGUAGGCGGAAUUCGUUGUGUAGCGGUGAAAUGCUUAGAUAUCACGAAGAACUCCGAUUGCGAAGGCAGCUUACUAAACUGCCACUGACAUUGAUGCUCGAAAGUGUGGGUAUCAAACAGGAUUAGAUACCCCAGUAGUC